AUACAGAGGGUGCGAGCGUUAAUCGGAAUUACUGGGUGUAAAGCGCGCGUAGGCGGUCUAUUAAGUCAGAUGUGAAAUCCCAGGGCUCAACCUUGGAACUGCAUCUGAUACUGGUAGACUAGAGUUUUGGAGAGGGAAGUAGAAUUUCAGGUGUAGCGGUGAAAUGCAUAGAGAUCUGAAGGAAUACCAGUGGCGAAGGCGACUUCCUGGCCAAAAACUGACGCUGAGGUGCGAAAGCGUGGGUAGCAAACGGGAUUAGAUACCCUAGUAGUCC
rnacentral:rRNA from 1 species